UUGGCCCUGAAUCAAGGCCAGCACUUUGCUAUAGUGCUGGUUUCAAACUGGAGCCUAAAAAAAUGUCUUUCUUUGGUCUGUUGGCCAUUUCAGAAAGUUGGAAAUGUAAUGGUCGAUUUAUUAGAAAGAAACAUUG
rnacentral:snoRNA from 1 species